rnacentral:rRNA from 1 species
GACGAACGCUGGCGGCGUGCUUAACACAUGCAAGUCGAACGAAGUGGCGAACGGGUGAGUAACGCGUAAUCAACCUGCCCUUCAGAGGGGGACAACAGUUGGAAACGACUGCUAAUACCGCAUACUGAAGGAGGGGAUUGCGGCUGAUUAGCUAGUUGGAGGGGUAACGGCCCAACAAGGCGAUGAUCAGUAGCCGGUCUUGAGGGAAGAACGGCCACCGUUGGAAGUGGUCACCGCCCCAGACCCUACGGGAGGGAGCAGGGGGGAAUCUUUCGCCAAUGAAGGAAGGCUGACGGAGCAAAGCCGCGGUAGGUAUGACGGGCUUCGGGGUGGUAAGCUCUGUUAAUCGGGACGCGGUACCGGAAAAGAAAGCCACGGCUAACUACGUGCCAGCAGCCGCGGUAAUAC